GGUUGGCCCGCCACAUCGGGACUGAGACACUGCCCGGACCUCCACGGAGGGCUGCAGUAACGAAUAUUGCGCAAUGGGCGAAAGCCUGACGCAGCGACGCCGCGUGUAGGAUGAAGCCCCUCGGGGUGUAAACUACUGUCAGGGGUUAGAAAGUAUGCUUCGGCAUAUUGAUCAGCCCCGGAGGAAGUCACGGCUAACUUCGUGCCAGCAGCCGCGGUAAUACGAAGGUGGCGAGCGUUGUUCGGAAUCACUGGGCUUAAAGCGCGCGUAGGCGGAAUGGUGGGUGUCUUGUGAAAUCCCUCGGCUUAACCGAGGAAUUGCUUGGCAAACUACCAUUCUUGAGGCAAGUAGGGGUGCAUGGAACUCUUGGUGGAGCGGUGGAAUGCGUAGAUAUCAAGAGGAACGCCAAAGGUGAAGACAGUGCACUGGGCUUGUCCUGACGCUGAGGUGCGAAAGCGUGGGGAGCGAACGGGAUUAGAUACCCCGGUAGUCCACGCCGUAAACGAUGCCUACUAGGUUGUGGAGGUUCUGACACCCUCACAGUCGAAGCAAAAGUGUUAAGUAGGCCGCCUGGGGAGUACGGUCGCAAGGCUAAAACUCAAAGGAAUUGACGGGGGCUCACACAAGCGGUGGAGCAUGUGGAUUAAUUCGAAUCAACGCGCAGAACCUUACCUGGGUUUGACAUGUUUGGAUGCUUGCCGGGAAACUGGUUAAGCUGCCUUCGGGUGAAACUUGCACAGGUGCUGCAUGGCUGUCGUCAGCUCGUGUCGUGAGAUGUCGGGUUAAGUCCUUUAACGAGCGAAACCCUUGCCGUUAGUUGCCAGCGGGUCAUGCCGGGGACUCUAGCGGGACUGCCGGUGUUAAACCGGAGGAAGGUGGGGAUGACGUCAAGUCCUCAUGGCCUUUAUGCCCAGGGCUUCACACGUGCUACAAUGGUGACUACAGAGCGAUGCGAUACCGUGAGGUGGAGCAAAUCGCAAAAAAGUCGCCUCAGUUCGGAUUGCAGGCUGUCAACUCGCCUGCAUGAAGUUGGAAUCGCUAGUAAUCGCGUAUCAGCUACGACGCGGUGAAUGUGUUCCUGAGCCUUGUACACACCGCCCGUCAAGUGAUGGGAGCUGGAGUACCCAAAGUCGGUUUGCCAACCUUUUAUUAGGAGGCGACUGCCUACGGUAAGCUCGGUGACUGGCACUAAGUCGUAACAAGGUA
rnacentral:rRNA from 1 species